rnacentral:ncRNA from 1 species
UCUUAUAAAGAGCGGUGGAGGGAAGUGCCCUAUGAAGCCCGGCAACCAUCACAUUAUGUGAAAAGGUGCCAAGUCACGCGAAGUGGAUACUUUGAAAGAUAAGA